AUUGAACGCUGGCGGCAUGCUUUACACAUGCAAGUCGAACGGUAACAGGUUAAGCUGACGAGUGGCGAACGGGUGAGUAAUGCAUCGGAACGUGCCCGGUCGUGGGGGAUAACGCAGCGAAAGCUGCGCUAAUACCGCAUACGAUCUAAGGAUGAAAGCGGGGGACCGUAAGGCCUCGCGCGAUCGGAGCGGCCGAUGUCAGAUUAGGUAGUUGGUGGGGUAAAGGCUCACCAAGCCAACGAUCUGUAGCUGGUCUGAGAGGACGACCAGGCACACGGGGACUGAGACACGGCCCCGACUCCUACGGGAGGCAGCAGUGGGGAAUUUUGGACAAUGGGCGAAAGCCUGAUCCAGCAAUGCCGCGUGCAGGAAGAAGGCCUUCGGGUUGUAAACUGCUUUUGUACGGAGCGAAAAGGUCUCCUCUAAUACAGGGGGCUCAUGACGGUACCGUAAGAAUAAGCACCGGCUAACUACGUGCCAGCAGCCGCAGUAA
rnacentral:rRNA from 1 species